rnacentral:rRNA from 1 species
GACGAACGCUGGCGGCGUGCCUAAUACAUGCAAGUCGAACGCUUCUUUCCUCCCGAGUGCUUGCACUCAAUUGGAAAGAGGAGUGGCGGACGGGUGAGUAACACGUGGGUAACCUACCCAUCAGAGGGGGAUAACACUUGGAAACAGGUGCUAAUACCGCAUAGCAGUUUAUGCCGCAUGGCAUAAGAGUGAAAGGCGCUUUCGGGUGUCGCUGAUGGAUGGACCCGCGGUGCAUUAGCUAGUUGGUGAGGUAACGGCUCACCAAGGCCACGAUGCAUAGCCGACCUGAGAGGGUGAUCGGCCACACUGGGACUGAGACACGGCCCAGACUCCUACGGGAGGCAGCAGUAGGGAAUCUUCGGCAAUGGACGAAAGUCUGACCGAGCAACGCCGCGUGAGUGAAGAAGGUUUUCGGAUCGUAAAACUCUGUUGUUAGAGAAGAACAAGGACGUUAGUAACUGAACGUCCCCUGACGGUAUCUAACCAGAAAGCCACGGCUAACUACGUG